CGUCAAGUCAUCAUGGUCCUUACGUCCAGGGCUACACACGUGCUACAAUGGGCGGUACAAAGGGUCGCGAACCCGCGAGGGGGAGCCAAUCCCAAAAAGCCGCUCUCAGUUCGGAUUGGAGUCUGCAACUCGACUCCAUGAAGUUGGAAUCGCUAGUAAUCGCGGAUCAGCACGCCGCGGUGAAUACGUUCCCGGGCCUU
rnacentral:rRNA from 1 species